UCAAAUAGAAAAAAUAUUUUUUCGAUUUAUAAAAUUUAUUUAUAUGUUCGUACCAAUUUAAUUAUAAAAGUAGUAGAUAAUGACUUUUAAAUUACUCAAUAUUUAUUAUUUCAUAAUAUGUUAUAAACAUAUAAUAUAUAAAAUAAUUUAUAUAUAUAAUGUUCAUCCCGCGUAAGACACGGGUCUUAACCUAGUAUACUAGUGUUACUCAUGUGCUAUGCACGGAUCAAAUGACGGUGUAUUAAAUUAUUUGGUGAUAAAACUUUAAUUUUAUAAUUAUCAAUCAGAAUAAAAUUAUUUUAUUAAUUAUAUAUUCUUUUUUUUUUGUUCAAAAAAAAAGAAUAUAUAAUUAAUAAAAUAAUUUUAUUCUGAUUGAUAAUUAAUUUCUAUAAAUAUGGAUAACAAUUACCCGUGAAGUGAUGCUUUGUAAACAAAAAUGGUAGAGUAAUAUAUUUUUUUUGGUAAAAUAAUAGUUCCCAUAUUGUUUUAGCAUAGAUAUAUGUUUGCAAGUAAUUUAUGUUUGGAAAUUGAGAUAUAUACCAACACAUAAAAAUAUAGUUAAAGUACUAUAUUUGAUUCAUUCAGUUUUUCUUUGUAUCUGUCUUGUAAAUAAAUAUUCAUAAGAAAUAAAUAUAUAUUUUUAAUAAAAAAAAUAAGUUAUGACAGAUUAUGAAAUUUUUAUUAAAAAUGUACUUAAUUUUUUUGAUAAUUUGAGACAUGAUAUAAAGAGAGAGUUUCAAUAGAAAAAAAUAUGAAAAAAGAAUAUCAUCAUUUAAGUGCGGGAAAUUUGAGGACGUAUACAUAGCAUACUAGAAAAUUAAGUUUAUACCCAUUACAUAGUUUAGGUAAUGAUAUUAUACAUAUUGUUAUGUAGUUUUCCAAAAAUACCCUCAAAUGCGCGUGGGAAGUCGGCAUGUUGUAGCUACUCUUUAAUCUGAAACCUGAAAAGUCAUAUUUCAUUUUCCAAAAGAACUCAUGCGAGAAAGAAUACAGAUUUGGAGAGCCAAAACUUUCGUUUGUCUGUGUUUGGGGAAAGAAAAGAUUACCAGUUCGACUAAUGGCUGAAGCAAUUUUUAUAAAAGUCAAGAAAAAGUUAGGGUUACUGAGGCCGAGCGAUUGCAAAGAAGAAAGAGCAUGAAUCGAGAUCCAGUGGAAGGGUUUAACGGCGGCGGAGGACAAAAGUAAUUAAAUCGGAUCUGACAUAUAUUUUACUUAUACUAUAUGAUAUUUGUAAAUAGUAUAGAACAAAUUGUGGUAUGCAUCACCUGAUAUUUAUACGAAAAUCCUUAAUGAUGUACUAAAGAACCACCUUUGUGCUUAGUUGACUAUCUUUUGAUAAACUGGUUGACUAUAGUAUUUUUUCCGUUUGUGGGUGUGACUCAUUGUAUACUAUAGGGUCACUAACUGUCUGUAUUUGGGUUUAAGUUCCAAUGAUAUACUGAAAAUGUGACUAUACUCUAUGAGAAACGUUAAUAGAAUAGUAACACAGUUGUACGGCACUAGUUCACAUUUUUACAUCACUGGGCUGCUCAUCUGUUGCAGUGUUUGAGAAUUAACGUUAGGUUUUGUUUAACGUUAUAUCCAUCAUAUUAAUUUGGCGCAGUGCUAUAUUGUUAUGGUUUUACAUUUGAUUGCUUUAUAUGUUUCUACAAACACCUAAACAUAGUAUUCUCUGGAAAAUAUUGGAUGACUGUAUAGGUCACAACAACUACAAUACUAUAACGUUUGUAAUAUAGUAUGGCUUACAAAUAUACAUCACAACAGUUUGUUUAUUGCCGAGUCUCCUAAAGCAUCUUUCUCCAUCCAUUUUCAUAUUGGUUCCGGUUCCCUUUUUUAACAACAACUACACUAGACCACUUGGAACUUGUGCAACAACACAUAGGGGAGUAUAAACAUAUUGUAACUAGAAGCCAUUUGUGUGUUUGAUAAUGUAAUCAUACUACAUUGAAUAUAGUAUAGUCUAUUGUUCGAUUUUUUUCAUACACUACAGUCUGUCAUAUAUGUUUUGUUUAAUGGAACGACUUACUUGCUUAUUACGUUUCACAUGUUACACAUGCAUCAACCGUGCUACAUUGCUUGAGGAUUGCUUACCGGAUCUAGAAAUCCAUGUUCCAUCAACCAUUGCUGCCCCCUGUUAUGAUAGGAGUUGUAUCACCUCGACAUCUGCAAUGUCACGUCCAUUCGCUUCUAAAGCUUCCUGGCAUGCCGCAGUGGUACGGAUCGAUUCCUCAAACAAGCGUUGUCUCCCAAAUGAAGCUUCCAUACUUUCCAUAUGUGGGACAACACAGUCAUCCCACACAUAAUCAUGCUCAAGCCUCAUGUCCACAACUUUCUCCUUCCUUCGUGUUCCAGGUGCCGGAUUUGCUAGUGGAAUGAUAUCUCAUGUUCUCGUAUAAUUAUAUCAUUUCACGUUGUAGUAUAGACUAUAGACUGCAUCGCUGGGGGAAUUUAUAAUCUCAAAUUUAUUAAGUUACAUGUGUUAUGAUACAGAAGUGAAAAGUCUAUUCUACAACAUAUGUUUAGUAUAACAAAAUUGAGCACAUGACUUUCUUUUCACUUUGCACUUCUUCCCCACGCGCACGUGCUAUAAGGGAGAGAACCGUUCUUUUUGAACGUAACUUGUCACAUGAAAGAAGUAUCACUGUAGCAUGGCUAUAUUCUUUAUUUAUGUGUUUCUUAUGAAUAUCCAUCAAAUUGCUCCUAUAAGUGCUACACUAAUUACAUCUGUGAUUAUUAUUUUUUUGGUUUCUUCACCAAUUUACUCAAACACGCCAUUCAUUAGUACAAGCUCAAUUGGCUACACUUUUUUUAUAUCAAUUGGCUACACCUAUUCUUCUUUUUUCAUUUCUAUUAUGUUUCUUAUUAGUCGCAAACAGAAACUUUGAGCUUUGAAUGGGAAAAAUAUAUGUGCAACAAAUGCAAAUACUAAUUUUAAAGUAUUUCUUAAAUGAACUGGAUAAUACUUGAAAAUUGAUUUCCUGUAGAUGUUUGAAAGUAUUUCUGCAAACUCAUUAGUGGAUUUCGGAUUUCUUAAUAUAGAUACUAAUUUAAUUUUUUUUGCAUUUAUUCAUCUUUAGCAAAUUGAUGACAAGCGUUUCCUAAAAAUAUUUAAGGAAACUCUGGGAAUAUAAAUAAAACAGAUAUGAAAAGUAUUUUAUAAGUAAAAGAAGUAUGAAAAAUGCAUUGUUACCAUACUUUAUAAAUAAAAGAAGUAUAUAGAUAUGCAUUGUUACCUUCAUUGCUGAUAAAUUGGUGGAGUUUAAAGAAACUCAGAAUAUAAA